CAGCCGCCGCGGGAAUACAGAGGGUGCGAGCGUUAAUCGGAUUUACUGGGCGUAAAGCGUGCGUAUGCGGCUUCUUAAGUCGGAUGUGAAAUCCCUGAGCUUAACUUAGGAAUUGCAUUCGAUACUGGGAAGCUAGAGUAUGGGAGAGGAUGGUAGAAUUCCAGGUGUAGCGGUGAAAUGCGUAGAGAUCUGGAGGAAUACCGAUGGCGAAGGCAGCCAUCUGGCCUAAUACUGACGCUGAGGUACGAAAGCAUGGGGAGCAAACAGGAUUAGAUACCCGUGUAGUCCCUGUCUCUUAUAC
rnacentral:rRNA from 1 species